ACGCUGGCGGCGUGCUUACACAUGCAAGUCGAACGGGAUGCUCCGGGUAGCUUGCUACCUGGAGAAUCUAGUGGCGAACGGGUGAGUAACACGUGGGCAACCUGCCCUGGAGACCGGGAUAACACGGGGAAACCCGUGCUAAUACCGGAUAAUCUGCCUUUCCCGCAUGGCAUCGGCAGGAAAAGGUUAGCUUGCUAUCCGCUCCAGGAUGGGCCCGCGGCCAAUUAGCUUGUCGGUGAGGUAACGGCUCACCGAGGCGACGAUGGGUAGCCGGCCUGAGAGGGUGAACGGCCACACUGGGACUGAGAUACGGCCCAGACUCCUACGGGAGGCAGCAGUGGGGAAUAUUGCGCAAUGGGCGAAAGCCUGACGCAGCGACGCCGCGUGGGUGAAGAAGGCCUUCGGGUUGUAAAGCCCUGUUAGGGGGGAAGAAGGUGCUUGCACUGACGGUACCCCCGAAGAAAGCCCCGGCCAACUACGUGCCAGCAGCCGCGGUAAGACGUAGGGGGCGAGCGUUGUCCGGAAUCAUUGGGCGUAAAGAGCACGUAGGCGGCCUGUCAAGUCGGAUGUGAAAACCCGCGGCUCAACUGCGGGACUGCAUUCGAAACUGGCAGGCUAGAGUCCAGUAGAGGAAAGUGGAAUUCCCAGUGUAGCGGUGAAAUGCGCAGAUAUUGGGAAGAACACCCGGUGGCGAAGGCGGCUUUCUGGGCUGAGACUGGACGCUGANGUGCGAAAGCUAGGGGAGCAAACAGGAUUAGAUACCCUGGUAGUCCUAGCUGUNAACGCUGGGGUACUAGGUGUAGGGGGUUUAGACGCUCUCUGUGCCGUANUUACGCAUUAG
rnacentral:rRNA from 1 species